rnacentral:rRNA from 1 species
GAUCAAAUAUUUAAAAUAAUUUUAUAAAAAUGAAUAUUAAUAAUAUAAUUUUAG